UGGGGAAUAUUGGACAAUGGGCGAAAGCCUGAUCCAGCCAUGCCGCGUGUGUGAAGAAGGUCUUCGGAUUGUAAAGCACUUUAAGUUGGGAGGAAGGGCAGUAAGCGAAUACCUUGCUGUUUUGACGUUACCGACAGAAUAAGCACCGGCUAACUCUGUGCCAGCAGCCGCGGUAAUACAGAGGGUGCAAGCGUUAAUCGGAAUUACUGGGCGUAAAGCGCGCGUAGGUGGUUCGUUAAGUUGAAUGUGAAAGCCCCGGGCUCAACCUGGGAACUGCAUCCAAAACUGGCGAGCUAGAGUAGGGCAGAGGGUGGUCGAAUUUCCUGUGUAGCGGAGAAAUGCGUAGAUAUAGGAAGGAACACCAGUGGCGAAGGCGACCACCUGGGCUCAUACUGACACUGAGGUGCGAAAGCGUGGGGAGCAAACAGG
rnacentral:rRNA from 1 species